GUAGGACUGUAUUGGGAUGCGAAAUAUGUCGUGGCAUUGCCCCCUUGUGCCGUGGGGGUAUGUUCUUUUGUUCACUGAACUUGUUUUUGUGUCUCAGAAGCUUGAUCUCUUUGAAGUGUCAGAGUGAAGAGGACUAAAGGCAAGGGUGAUCUAGUAACAUGUCUCUACGUAUCGGGAUCAGCACUGCAAAACAGAAAGUUUAGGGAAGGUAAAAAGAAAAGAAAAGGUCCAUGUAGCCAUGAGGCCUUCCAGUGUCAAUGAGCUUGCAUUGCUAUCUAUUUACCCAUCUAGAUCAGACAAAACUUUUAGCUUUGGAUUUUGAUAAAGGAGUACUCGAGUACUAUGGAUCAUCAUUCACUUUUUAGUCUAGCAUAUAUGUCUCUGGAUGCAUAAACUUGAUUGUCUUCGAUACAAAGCUCAAGUUUAAUAAUAGAUAUGAUCGAGAUCCUUUCUUUCUUAAAUGAAAGAUUUAUAUACGAUGAUCACAACUCAAUCAAUAUAACAUAAUUUUUGUUUAUUUGCAACCAUGGUUGGGGAAAAAUAUGUUCUGUUCAUCUUUUCAUGGCUCACUGCUCUUUUCUUCUAACUUCGCUAACACUACAAUGACAUGCAUCAAUGCAUGUAAAGAGGUCAGCAAGUAUAGUCUUACCCAAUUCUACAGAAAAGACAGGCAUCACUUUCAGCUGCAUGUGGCCUAAAGCAAAAUUUGCUGCUAAAUGUAGAUUUGCGAAUUGCUUUCACAGUUGAUAUACCUGCUGCCGAAAUGGUGGAACGAUUCAAAGGUGGUGCCAGGGUACUGUGUUGACAUUAAGGGUGCACUCUGAUUCUCUGAACAUGCAGAGGCAUCACGCUUGCAAAAAAGUUUCACGAUGAAGAUGCGUGUGAGAAAAGAAUUCUUCAGCAGGCGGUUAUUGUAAAUCUGUUGUCACAGCACUUCCCAUGGAGUAAUUUGCUCUGACAUGUGGAACAACGUGGUUCAUGGUUUCCAAGGUAGGAAGGUCCAAAAGAGUCACUGCACUUAUAUAUAUUGACCUGGAAGAGGUUCCGAUUGACAUUCCAGCAGGGCUACUGCCAACAGCAUAUGUGACUGCAGGGGCAACUACACAAGAGGGUCUGGAACUUGACUCAACUUGGACAUGACAGGUAUAGUAGUCAUUAUUGUCUUCAAUUUGCAUUCAUACUGCACAUUAUAUUUCACUUGGAAUCACAAGACAAAAACUAUGCAAUGGCAUAGCUAUAUCCACUCUGCUUCUCACAGAAAAAAGAGAAAAGAAAACACUCAAAAAGUACAAUACAUUCGAUAACCCACCAAAAAAAGAAGAGAAGAAACAAAAAAAAAUCAAGGAGCAGUUUGUUCCUAUAUAUACUAUAUAUGGUAUAGUAAAUAUAUCCCUCCUUAUGAACUCAACUCAAGGAAGGACUCCAACGACAACCUUGGGGCGGCAAUAACAAUCCUUUCAACUCCCAGCAAUAGGAUGGAAGCUGAAAACCCAAAGGAUGCCCGCUUAUUGCUAUGAUCUUACACCUUGUACGUAGACUCGAUCGCAGUGGUUAUUAAUAGCUAGCCAGCAGUAGCAUAUCGAUCAGAGAAAAAGAAAGGGAAAAAAUAGUUAUUAGGUGAAUUUUCUCAGCUGCAGCAUCGUUGAGCAAAUCAGAGGCUUCGUUCUCAGCUCGCCAGGGCCACACAGGAUGUGCUCUCCUCGGUGCCGUCGGCCGUGCUGGAGCACCAAGCGUCGUCGGAGAUGAACUGCAUCCAGGAUUCGUCCUUGUCCGCGUCAUCGUCGGCGCCACGGGAUGUGGAGCCGACGGGCACGUCUGGCGACGGCGUCUGGUACUCCUGGCUGCCACUGGUGAGCAGCUGCUGGCAGGCGCCCUCCAGCAGCGCCAUGCUGCACUGCGCCUGCAGGUCAUCCACCUCGGUGCAGAUCGCGUUCUUCUUGAAGACCCGGCAUAGCGCAUAGGUGUCCUGAUCAUGAGAAUACAAGAGUAAUAAGGAGAAAAGAAAAGAAUCAUCAACACAUAGUAUUUCUGUCUUUUUUUGGCAAGUAGUUAGCUUAUGUGCUACACUGACGCAUGAAUAUGCUUGUACUAUACAUGCUACAUUUGCUAAAUAAUGUUGGGAUAAAAUUAAA